GGGAACGUGCCUUCCGGUUCGGAAUAACCCUGGGAAACUAGGGCUAAUACCGGAUACGCCCUUAUGGGGAAAGGUUUACUGCCGGAAGAUCGGCCCGCGUCUGAUUAGCUAGUUGGUGGGGUAACGGCCUACCAAGGCGACGAUCAGUAGCUGGUCUGAGAGGAUGAUCAGCCACACUGGGACUGAGACACGGCCCAGACUCCUACGGGAGGCAGCAGUGGGGAAUAUUGGACAAUGGGCGCAAGCCUGAUCCAGCCAUGCCGCGUGAGUGAUGAAGGCCUUAGGGUUGUAAAGCUCUUUUAUCCGGGACGAUAAUGACGGUACCGGAGGAAUAAGCCCCGGCUAACUUCGUGCCAGCAGCCGCGGUAAUACGAAGGGGGCUAGCGUUGCUCGGAAUCACUGGGCGUAAAGGGCGCGUAGGCGGCGUUUUAAGUCGGGGGUGAAAGCCUGUGGCUCAACCACAGAAUGGCCUUCGAUACUGGGACGCUUGAGUAUGGUAGAGGUUGGUGGAACUGCGAGU
rnacentral:rRNA from 57 species